rnacentral:rRNA from 1 species
CAUAGAUACCCGUGUAGUCCUGGCCGUAAACGAUGUGGACUUGGUGUUGGAAUGGCUCCGAGCUGCUCCAGUGCCGAAGGGAAGCUGUUAAGUCCACCGCCUGGGAAGUACGGUCGCAAGGCUGAAACUUAAAGGAAUUGCGGGGGAGCACCACAACGGGUGGAGCCUGCGGUUUAAUUGGACUCAACGCCGGGAAGCUCACCGGAUAAGACAGCGGAAUGAUUGCCGGGCUGAAGACCCUGCAUGACCAGCUG